rnacentral:rRNA from 1 species
UUCCGGUUGAUCCCGCCGGACCUGACUGCUAUCGGAUUGAUACUAAGCCAUGCUAGUCUUUGUAGUAAUACAAGGCAUACGGCUCAGUAACGCGUAGUCAACCUACCCUAUGGACGGGGAUAAUCUCGGGAAACUGAGCAUAAUACCCGGUAGACCACUUAUCCUGGAAUGGUUAGUGGUUAAAAUGAUUCGUCGCCAUAGGAUGGGACUGCGGCCUAUCAGCUUGUUGGUGAGGUAAUGGCCCACCAAGGCGAUUACAGGUACGGGCUCUGAGAGGAGAAGCCCGGAGAUGGGUACUGAGACACGGACCCAGGCCCUAUGGGGCGCAGCAGGCGAGAAAACUUUGCAAUGUGCGAAAGCACGACAAGGUUAAUCCGAGUGAUUUCUGCUAAAGAGAUCUUUUGUUAGUCCUAGAAACACUAACGAAUAAGGGGUGGGCAAGUUCUGGUGUCAGCCGCCGCGGUAAAACCAGCACCUCAAGUGGUCAGGAUGAUUAUUGGGCCUAAAGCAUCCGUAGCCGGCUCUGUAAGUUUUCGGUUAAAUCUGUACGCUCAACGUACAGGCUGCCGGGAAUACUGCAGAACUAGGGAGUGGGAGAGGUAGACGGUACUCGGUAGGAAGUGGUAAAAUGCUUUGAUCUAUCGAUGACCACCUGUGGCGAAGGCGGUCUACCAGAACACGUCCGACGGUGAGGGAUGAAAGCUGGGGGAGCAAACCGGAUUAGAUACCCGGGUAGUCCCAGCUGUAAACGAUGCAGACUCGAUGAUGCAUUGGCAUAUAGCCAGUGCAGUGUCGCAGGGAAGCCGUUAAGUCUGCCGCCUGGGAAGUACGUACGCAAGUAUGAAACUUAAAGGAAUUGGCGGGGGAGCACCACAAGGGGUGAAGCCUGCGGUUCAAUUGGAGUCAACGCCGGG